UACGUAGGGUGCAAGCGUUGUCCGGAAUUAUUGGGCGUAAAGAGCUCGUAGGCGGUUUGUCGCGUCGGCUGUGAAAACCUGGGGCUCAACCCCGGGCCUGCAGCCGAUACGGGCAAACUAGAAUUCGGUAGGGGAGACUGGAAUUCCUGGUGUAGCGGUGAAAUGCGCAGAUAUCAGGAGGAACACCGGUGGCGAAGGCGGCAUCCUGGACCAAAACUGACGCUGAAUAGCGAAAGCCAGGGGAGCAAACGGG
rnacentral:rRNA from 1 species